GACAGAGGUCCCGAGCGUUAGGCGGAAUCACUGGGCUUAAAGCGUGUGUAGGCGGAUCUGUAAGUACCUUGUGAAAUCCCUCGGCCCAACCGAGGAACUGCGCCCGAGACUGCUUCUCUUGAGUCCCGGAGAGGAGGGUGGAAUUCCCGGUGUAGCGGUGAAAUGUGUAGAGAUCGGGAGGAACACCGGUGGCGAAGGCGGCCUUCUGGACGGUGACUGACGCUGAGGCGCGAAAGCGUGGGGAGCAAACGGG
rnacentral:rRNA from 1 species